GUUCUAUGCAGUGGAAACAAGUUUUUCCAGAUUGCUAGAACGUCCUUUUCAAAACUGAGAACUGGUGCAUUGGUCUAGCCUCCUGAUAUUAUUCCUGCUGUCACUCUGAACUGCACUUAGGAUAAGAAAACUGUGUUCCCAACUGACAGUAGAGGAGAUGUCACUAUCUGAGAGUCACGGCAGGAAAAUGAAGAAACUGCUCACCACUGUCUGCAGUGCUCCAUUGAAGGCCACUCAGAAGGGAUGCAGAUUAACAGAGAUGCUGCUAGCAACAUCUCAGGCUAUGAGAAAUCAUCUGUGAUAGGAUUCCAUCUUAACAUCAUCACCACAAUGAAAGAAAAGUCCAUAAGCCAGAAGGACCCCCCCCAAAGGAGCAAGAGUGUUCGGCAGGCAGUGAGCACACAGGAUUGCAUUUGAGGCUAGAGAUGGAAAAACUCAUUGAGAAAACCAGGACACUUAUCUCCCACUAUUAGCUGGGGGUUGCUUUGGUUUGUCCCGAUGGCUGCAAAGCCUCUGUGAUAA